UGAUUGGCUCGAAGUGAUAAUGCUAUGUCCGUUUCGGUGGACUGUUAUCUUAUGAACAACAGGACGGUUGUCACAUGUGAAGCAGUAUUUUCUUCCCUUUCGGAGUUGCCGAGAUCACCCCCAGCUUUUGGUGGGAUUCGUGUUGCUUGUAGGUUUUAAUUUCUUUGACGUUUCUUCUUCACUAUUGUUUGUCUUUUCUUUUGUAGCCAUGGCGUUAGUUUACUUUCGAUUUAUGAGUUUGAAUGUCCCUCUGGUAUCUUUUACUCCUCCUUUAUGAAUUAGCUUGUUAAAAAUCCGACUCAGCGUGUGGUUCAAGUGAAAAGUAAAGUUAUUUUUCAUGUUACAUUAACUUGUUCUUGUCCUGAAUAUGCAUAUUUAUUUCCCGCUGGACAGUGCGAAGCCAACAUAAUCACCAAGAUUCAUCUUUUAUUUCGUAUUUGAAUGUUUCAAAGUCAUUUAAAGUCUUGUCCAUGUACAUUAGUUAGUGUUAAUUAUGACCUUCAAAUCUAAGGCCCGCUAUCUA
rnacentral:lncRNA from 1 species